rnacentral:tRNA from 1 species
UGGCUCAGUGAUAGAGCACUUGCCUUCCAUGCAUGAGGCCCUGGGUUCAAUUCCUCAG